UACGUAGGGUGCAAGCGUUGUCCGGAAUUAUUGGGCGUAAGGGGCUCGUAGGCGGUUUGUCGCGUCGGGAGUGAAAACUCAGGGCUUAACCCUGAGCCUGCUUCCGAUACGGGCAGACUAGAGGUAUGCAGGGGAGAAUGGAAUUCCUGGUGUAGCGGUGAAAUGCGCAGAUAUCAGGAGGAACACCGGUGGCGAAGGCGGUUCUCUGGGCAUUACCUGACGCUGAGGAGCGAAAGUGUGGGGAGCGAACAGG
rnacentral:rRNA from 1 species